UUAUAUGCAAAAUCAUGAUUUCGACUCAUUUAAUAAUUUUAAAAUAAUUCAUAUAUU
rnacentral:tRNA from 1 species